rnacentral:lncRNA from 1 species
AGGGAGGAAAGGGGAAUGGGGGAAAAACAAGAACCAAGAUAUAUCAUGUACAGAUACAAAUUCCCAAUGAUGAAUGUGAUCAUAAUGUUCACCUAAAAUGAACCAAUAAAUUUAAUGAAUAAAAAGAAAAAAGGAAAAUUCAUCAGCCAAGGGAAAAAAAUCAAAGUCUUGAUUUAUGACCUGAAUGCCAGCUGCUUGUACUUCCAGAUGGUUUCAGAUGGAGAUUUAACCCUUAAAGAGUUCUGGAAGGAACAUUUCAACAUCCUUUCCUGUUUGCGGUUAAUUGAGAAAUCCUGGCCCAAUGUCUCUCUAAGGACACUGAGGUCUGCCUUUGUACAGGAGAAGGACUUUGAAGGCUGUGUAGAGUGGAGCCUGAGCACUCAAUUGACCAACUUGCAUUACAACCAGCCCUCAGGAAAAAAUUGAGUUUGUAAGUCAAGUGUCCACUGUUUCUAAUUUGCUCUAGAUUCUCCUGGCCAUUCAAGAGAUAAAUGCUUCCCUAAUCCUCCCUCGUUCCCACCUGGAUUUUGCAUCUGCCUGGGGACCCUGAGCUCCUUAAUGCAGAAGGCUUGAUCUCUGAUACACUUGAGGAACACAUCUCUGGGGUUUUUACAUUAUUCAAACCAGUGCCAAUACAGAGCAGAGAGCAUUUCUGUUCUCCCACGGGUGGAAACACAAUUUACAUUCACUUUCCAGGCCUACUUCAAAAUGAUGCACUUCCUAAUCUUUUGAGAGGUAGGAGGAUUUGUAUAUUUCUCAAUGAUUUACAUGAAAUGAUAUUUUUGUUUUUCAAAUUAACAUGUACAUGUAACAGCAGUGAGAGUCAGGAUGUGGAAAUUAUUUUGGGUCUCACUCUAGCAUGCCAUAGGCAUCCACCCCCAUGCUGGGACGUGUCACUUGGGAGCCCUGGGGAAUCACCUGGGGAGUCCCCAGGCCACAGCCAGUCCUGGGAGAUCAGCUCAGAUGAACCUCCAGGUCGGGUGUGGAGCCCACACAGUUGGCCAGAUGGGCAGCUGGGUGACAACUAGGUUUCAUUUAAUUUACAGUCUUCCAGACUCAAGAGAAUUUUACUCAUCAAGUUACAAAGUUUGACAAUUAAUUAGUAAAGUAGGCAAAAGGGAAACCUGCACUUAAAACCAGAGCUGGGAAAAGAGAUAGUUACCUUGGGUGGAUUCCAAAAUCUGGAGGUGGGAGACACGUGGUUUUCACAAUUCCAUGGUCCUGAAGCUCAACAGGGUCCCAAGAAAAGGGUGGAGUGAAUGUGUGCACACGUGUGUAUGCUUGUGUGUAUGAGUAUGUGUGCAUGUGUGUAUAAACAUACAUGCAUGGGUGCUUGCCAAUGUGUGUGUAUAUUCACCUGUAUGUGCAUGCCUAUGUGUAUGUGCAUGCUUGUGAGUGUGUGUAUGCAUGUUACAUGCAGGCAGAAGAGUGUGUGGUGUGUGCAUGUGCUUCCAGGUGUGCAUGUUGUGUGGAUAUGAGUGUGCAAAUGUGUGUACAGGCUAUGAGCACAUAAGCAUGUGUGUGCAUGUAGCAGGGAUCUCAAAACUGGGCAAAGCCUCUGCCUCUGUCCAUGGCUGGCACAGGCUGAGCUUUUGCAGUGCUCUGCUGACUCUGGGGUCCUUGGUUUGCAGUUGUUUCUGAUACUCACAGUGAGUUUUGAAAGGCUUAUGGCAAAUAUCAGUUUGAUUUCUAGAAUUUUUAACUCAUUUUCUAUUAACUGUGUCAGAAGACAGUUUACAAUGAAGACUUUUAUUUUCUUUCCUUCAGGCCACUGAUUUGAUCUGAACCACAAAAAGGCAAAGUUUAUUUUGUGCGUGUACCCUAGAAUUCAUCACCACUGCUGCUGGUACUAAGUUAUGCUCACUCCAAGAGCCUCUCUGGGUGGGCCCAUGUAGGUGCAGGUCACAUCCACUUAUGGCUCAUGUUCAUGUUCUUGUCACUUUUAACUAAAUCUUAAGUGUGAACCUGCCACAUUCACCAAUGUCCCUCUUGUCACAUGCUCUGUAACAUAAAGACUAAAUUACAGGCCCUUAAAAAAAGGAGAGCCUGUGGCCUACCACCCUGCACAAUAGUGUAGCUCAGGAAUGGAGAACUUGCCUAACUUCCACAGGGUCCUGGGUUUGAUCUCCAGCACAGAAAGUGGGGGAAAAAAGUAAAGAACAGGCUUUGGGCAACUAAAUGCUUUCCCUCUUCAUAUCCUUUUUCCUCUACUACUCCUAUCAUUCAUUUAUUUCCUUAAUUAAUUUUCUGCUGUUUGCAGUGUCCAGCUCAGAACUGGUACCAGGGACAUAGUGAUUGUGUUAGUCAGCUUUUUUUUUUUUUUACUGUAACAAAUUACCUGAGGUAAUCAACUUAAAGAGAGAGAAGGUUUAUUUGCACUUAGGGUUUCAGAGAUGAUGAAUCAGCCCAGUUGCUUUUGGCCUGUGAUGAGGCAGCACAACAUGGCAAGAGGACUUCAUAGAGCUCAGCUUCUUACCUCAUGGCCAGGAAGUGAAGGAAAGGAAAAGGAAGGUUACUGGAGCCCCACAGCCAUUUUGAGUGCACAGCCCCAGCGACCUGCAGACUUCCCACUGGGCCCCACCUCUCCAAGGUUCCUCAUUUCCCAGUAUUGCCAGGCUAGAGACAAAACCUUUGAGGGGCACCAGAUCCAAACUACAGCAGAGAUGGACAGAACCCGAAAUUCUGUCCUCAAAAGGCUCAUCAUCUACUGGGGUUGAGGGAGGUUCAGAGCACCCAGGCACAACAAGUGUAAAACCUGCUCUCAGAGAGCAGAAUGACCCCACCCCCCAGCGGGAGGGAGAAGGCUCCCAAGGCCCGACCUUCAACUGCAGAAAGCAAAUAGGCAGAGCCCAGCUGGCGAGGAGCCUGGCUGUGGCACCAGGCAUGGAGACUAUGAGCUGAACGGACAUUGCUCACAGUUGAAAUGGCUCAAGAUGGUGUGGUAUGUGUUUGAGUGUGUGCUGCAGGGUUAGAUACUCGGGAUUUCUAACUCUUCAGACAGCACCCAGCCCUUGCAGGCCUCAUGCAGGGGUGGGGAUGUGUGUGUGAGGUCACGUGUGGGCAGGAGGGCAGCCAGAGGAUAUGGAGGAGGAUGGCAGGCCUGGCUGUGAGUAUCAGCUGGGCUGAGGCUGCAGGAAUGAGGAGAGAGACAGGAAACUGGACUGGGAAGUUGGGAACAGCUCAAGUUCAUGAUGGAUCACUGUGAGACUCUGUGCAGCCUGCCCUGAGCAGUGGCACCUAGAAGAAGAGGCAGAAGCACCCCAAGAGGAUGUAUUUCUUUGAGCUGUAAAGCGGAAAGCUUUCUUUCUUCUACCGUGAUGUUUCUGCCUUGGAGCCAGCCUACUGAAACCUCUGAAGCCAUGAGCCCAAAUAAACCUGCCCUCCUUUAAGUUGCAAGUGUCAGAUAUUUUGUUCAUAGCAACAAAAACCUGGCAAAUUCACCCUGAAAACAUCAAGAGAGAGAUGCUCUGGGGAAAAGAUGCUGCUGAUACUCUUGGCCCUUAGUGGCCUCAAUCCUGCAGCCUGGUCCCCACCACAACUUCACCAAAGCAAAUGGGUAUCCCAGGAGCUGACCCCAGGAGCUUGGGGGCUGAGGAACUCUAAGAGAUGCUUUGACCUCCCAGGAGUCAGAACAGGCUGAAAGAGGCAUCUACCUAUCUUAUCUAUUGACAUCAAGUGUUCUUGAAGGCACAUUUGUUGGUGGCACAAGAAAUUCAGCAGAAAUGAGCCUUGGUAAAGAAUAAUGUCCCUAAGAACUUGCUCCUCCAAUAACCAUGGCAGAAAGCACCUGGGAAGUUUCUUACAAUGCAGUCCUCAGCUCCUGCCUGCCUAGAAGUCCUGCUCCAGUGCUGCCUAGAGUCCAUGUUUUAACAGAAACAGUGUUAGUUUCCUGGGCACUUUGGGUGGGAAUGAGCUCUGAGCUGGAGAAUGUUCAGGCUCUCUGCAUACAGAUCUACCUAGGGAAUUUUUCAUAGCCCUGGGUCCAGACCACACCCCAGAUGCACGGAUCCAGAAUGCCUGGAGGAGCAGGGAGGCUGGCUGCAGUAUAGUUCCCCAGGAUACCAGGGCCUAGGAACUCUUCUAGGCUUACCUGCCAGGUUUGGCUCCCCCGACCCUACAUCUCCAUCUCCCUGCAUACCUGCUAAUCAUGAUCUUUACCUGGUUUCCGUCUCUGCUGUGCAUCGAGAAGCUUUCACCUGCCUUCUACACUCUGUGUCCUCACCCUCUGCUCUGCAGCUUCCCCUUGCUCUCCUGCUCGUCCUCUGUGGCUUUCAGCAGGGCUGUAUCUCAGUAUCCUGGCCAGUGGCUGGGCUAUCAUCUCCUCCUGUCUGGAUCCUACCCUCCUCAGUGUGCUGUGGACUGCCUUUCAACACAUGCUGGCAGCAGGCAUCUCCAGAGUUGACACUUUACCAUCCCUGUCACUUCUUCCAUCCUUCCUCUGACUUCCUGGGGUCAGGCUUUGGGCCCUGUUAUACUACCAAACUCUUCUGACCCAUCAGUGGGUUGACCGCCGGUGGAAACACUCCUUGUUUUGGGCACUGCACCUCUCUGGUCCCCCUGCCUGGCUGCUGCACCUCCCAGACCCUCUGUUUAAAUUUCAAGGUACUUCAAUAUGACAGCCAAAGACAAUACUCAGGAGCAACAAGCAACAGGAGAGGGAAUUACAUCAAGAAGCCAGGAAGGUUCUGAUGCCGAGCACUUCCCAAGGAUGAGCCUCAAAGCAACGAUGUUUGCAAUGCCUGGCAGGUUCAUUAAAUAAAAGAUUGAUAUUCACCUUAAUCUUUGAAUUUGCUUAUGGGGUUCUCUGCUUGCUUCAGUGCACACAUUCUAAGAAACUCUGACAUAUUUUUCAUUAGAAGAAUUUCUAGUAGCCUUCUCUUCUGAAUCCAACUGUAGAAGGUUGACUACAAAGGGGAUUCAUCAAGGGAAGAACUUGACAAUGAGGAAGCCUCCUCAAG